AUGUCAGAGUCCAGCGAGGAGGGACGUAGCCAUGCAACAAGCCUUCUCAUCACCGCAUGCCAAAAGAUAACUACUGCCCUAGACGGUAGUACAAUUGCGUCGAGUACAGACCAUGGAUGUGGUGCAGGCCAUGCAUUGAUGCAUGCAUUAGUACUAGUAGAAUUGAGUUUUAAUGCACUUUCUUCCCCGUCUUCCACUCUUCUUCCUCCUCUCUUCCCCAUCGCCGGUCGCACACCAUUUACCCCCGCUCACUGCUUGCCUGCCCGCACCAUCUUCCUUGCAGACGCAAAUGCGCUGGCCUUCAUGAUUCUCGGACCUGGAAUCAUACCAGCUGAUGGGUGGUGGUUUAUCGCUCGUUCAGCUGACGACGUACCAUAUAACUGGAAUUACCGAUGCAAGUCGAAGAAGGAUUGGCCGGUGCUCCCGGUGCUGCCGGCUGGCGUCAAGUUCCAUCCCAUGGAUCAGGACCUGAUCGAGCACCUUGAGUCCAAAGUGAGUGCUGACAGCGCGAGAUCUCACCCUCUCAUCGAUUUGUUCAUACCAACCAUCGACAAUGAGCAUGACAUAUGCUACACCCAACCUGAGAAACUUCCAGGUAUUACACUGAGUGGCCUAAGGAAGCUUCUUCCAGCGCAAUUCCUGGGCGUUCAAAAGGGGCACAUGGACGCGUCACAAGAUAUAACGAGCAACAAAAAGGUUCUGGUGCUGCACACCAACAAGAACUUCGACCAGCGGAGGACCAACUGGGUGACGCACCAGUACCACCUCGGGGACCUGGAGCAAGAGAAGGAGCGGGAGCUGGUCCUCUGCAAGAUUUUCUACCAGACGAACACUAGGGUCAGGAGUAAAAAGAUUAUAAGUUAG
rnacentral:rRNA from 1 species